UACGUAGGGUGCAAGCGUUGUCCGGAAUCACUGGGCGUAAAGGGUGCGUAGGCGGGUUUUUAAGUCAGGGGUGAAAUCCUGGAGCUCAACUCCAGAACUGCCUUUGAUACUGAAGAUCUUGAGUCCGGGAGAGGUGAGUGGAACUGCGAGUGUAGAGGUGAAGUUCGUAGAUAUUCGCAAGAACACCAGUGGCGAAGGCGGCUCACUGGCCCGGUACUGACGCUGAGGCACGAAAGCGUGGGGAGCAAACAGG
rnacentral:rRNA from 1 species